rnacentral:rRNA from 2 species
AGAGCCCUGAAGGGACGUUGAAGACGACGACGUUGAUAGGCCGGGUGUGUAAGCGCAGCGAUGCGUUGAGCUAACCGGUACUAAUGACCCGUGAGGCUUAACCUUACAACGCCAGAGGCGUUUUG